CACGUAGUUAGCCGUGGCUUUCUGAUUAGGUACCGUCAAGAUGUGCACAGUUACUUACACAUUUGUUCUUCCCUAAUAACAGAGUUUUACGAGCCGAAACCCUUCAUCACUCACGCGGCGUUGCUCCGUCAGGCUUUCGCCCAUUGCGGAAGAUUCCCUACUGCUGCCUCCCGCAGGAGUCUGGACCGUGUCUCAGUUCCAGUGUGGCCGAUCACCCUCUCAGGUCGGCUACGUAUCGUCGCCUUGGUAAGCCGUUACCUUACCAACUAGCUAAUACGGCGCGGGUCCAUCUAUAAGUGAUAGCAAAACCAUCUUUCACUUUAGAACCAUGCGGUUCUAAAUGUUAUCCGGUAUUAGCUCCGGUUUCCCGAAGUUAUCCCAGUCUUAUAGGUAGGUUACCCACGUGUUACUCACCCGUCCGCCGCUAACUUCAAAGGAGCAAGCUCCUUAUCUGUUCGCUCGACUUGCAUGUAUUAGGCACGCCGCCAGCGUUCAUCCUGAGCCAGGAUCAAACUCU
rnacentral:rRNA from 1 species